rnacentral:rRNA from 1 species
UACAGAGGGUGCGAGCGUUAAUCGGAAUUACUGGGCGUAAAGGGUGUGUAGGUGGUUAGGUAAGUUAGAUGUGAAAUCCCCGGGCUCAACCUGGGAACUGCGUUUAAAACUGCUUGGCUAGAGUAUUGCAGAGGAUAGUGGAAUUUCCAGUGUAGCGGUGAAAUGCGUAGAUAUUGGAAGGAACACCAGUGGCGAAGGCGACUAUCUGGGCAAAUACUGACACUGAGACACGAAAGCAUGGGGAGCAAACAGG